rnacentral:rRNA from 1 species
AGGAUGAACGCUGGCGGCGUGCCUAACACAUGCAAGUCGAACGUCCUGUCUCGCAAGAGGCAGGGAGUGGCGGACGGGUGAGUACCACGUGGGUGAUCUACCGUGAGGUGAGGAAUACCGGCGAGAAAUCGCCGACAAGACCGCAUAGCCUCGGUGCAAGCCGAGGAAAGCUCUCUCGAGAGAGGGAGCGCCACACGAGGAGCCUGCGCCCGAUUAGCUAGCUGGUGGAGUAACGGUUCACCAGGGCGACGAUCGGUAGCUGGUCUGAGAGGACGAUCAGCCACACUGGGAUUGAGAACGGCCCAGACUCCUACGGGGGCAGCAGUGAGGAAUUUCGUCAAUGGGGGCAACCCUGAACGAGCAACGCCGCGUGCAGGAAGAAGGUUUUCGGAUCGUAAACUGUCUUUCGUCGGGGAAGAGAACGGACGGUACCGAGGAACUCAGCCCGGCUAACUACGUGCCAGCAGCCGC